CACGGGUCAUAAUCACAGAAUUGACACUACUAAAUUGUAGUAUUUUAAUCAGUAAGACUUUCUAAGAUAACAAUACGAAUACUAAACAUCUGGACUAAAAAUAAGGCGUAUAGGUACAGUUUUCAAUUUGUUAGCGGGCAUGACGUAAAACAGCGAAUCAAAGAAUUCAACUUUAUUUAUAACUAAUAUAGGACAAUGCUGUUGAUUAAAAAAUACUCCAUUCCAGGACCUUUUGUUUUCCAAAUAAUUAAUAUUACCAAUAAUUGAUAAGUUCCAGUUCGACGGGUUCAAACAGAAAGAUUUGAAAACAGAGAAAACUGUGUAUCUUAUAAUCGGCAUGACUUUAUCAGAUGACAAUACUAAUACUAAAAUAAGGCUUGCGCAAAGUUAUAUACUUUAAUUCAGUCACGGACCCG
rnacentral:lncRNA from 1 species